rnacentral:rRNA from 1 species
CAGAAGGUGCAAGCGUUACUCGGAAUUACUGGGCGUAAAGCGUCUGCAGGUGUCCUGCCACGUCUGAUGCUAAAUGUCGGGGCUCAACCCCGUCCUUGCGUCGGAAACGAGUGGGAUCGAGUCAGUCAGAGGCAUCUGGAAUGUCGUGUGUAGGGGUAAAAUCCGUAGAUACACGAUGGAACGCCGAAAGCGAAGGCAGGAUGCUAGGACUGCACUGACACUCAGAGACGAAAGCGUGGGGAGCAAAGGGGAUUAGAUACCCCCGUAGUCCACGCCCUAAACGAUGCGUGCUCGGUGUGGGACUUUUCAAUCAAGUCCCGUGCCUCAGCUUACGCGGUAAGCACGCCGCCUGGGAAGUACGGCCGCAAGGCUA